UAGGGAAUCUUCCGCAAUGGACGAAAGUCUGACGGAGCAACGCCGCGUGAGCGAUGAAGGCCUUCGGGUCGUAAAGCUCUGUUGUUAGGGAAGAACAAGUGCCGUUCGAAUAGGGCGGUACCUUGACGGUACCUAACCAGAAAGCCACGGCUAACUACGUGCCAGCAGCCGCGGUAAUACGUAGGUGGCAAGCGUUGUCCGGAAUUAUUGGGCGUAAAGCGCGCGCAGGCGGUUCCUUAAGUCUGAUGUGAAAGCCCACGGCUCAACCGUGGAGGGUCAUUGGAAACUGGGGAACUUGAGUGCAGAAGAGGAAAGCGGAAUUCCACGCGUAGCGGUGAAAUGCGUAGAGAUGUGGAGGAACACCAGUGGCGAAGGCGGCUUUCUGGUCUGUAACUGACGCUGAGGCGCGAAAGCGUGGGGAGCAAACAGGAUUAGAUACCCUGGUAGUCCACGCCGUAAACGAUGAGUGCUAAGUGUUAGGGGGUUUCCGCCCCUUAGUGCUGCAGCUAACG
rnacentral:rRNA from 1 species